CCAUCCCUAUAUAGGAUCUAAACCUGUGACCUUGGUGUUAUCAGCACCACACUCUUUCAAGUCAGCCACAGGCCAACAGGUCACAAGCAGGCCUCCCUGAAGAAUCAAGAUGGAUGUCAGCAGCCCUGAUUCAUAGAUGCUCAGAAGCAUGAACUUCACUUCGGAUGUUCUGGCACGUAUACUUGCACACACAUGGACACAGCAAGCCAGCUGCCUUGCAGAGUCCUGCUGGAGAGACCAGAAAGCAGAUUCAGGUCAAGGUCUUUUCACCAAUGGGGUAAGGGUCAUUUCACAAAGUCUACCCAUAUCUAAGGCCCACAUGGCUCAGCUGUAUUUUAACUCUGAUCCCAAGCAGUCCUCCCAUGUUGGUGGAAGACAAUUAUUAUACCCAGAAGGGAUGACCUGAAGCCAGGGGCUUCCCUGAUACCUCGGAUGAUGGGGAGAACUUCGGCAGACCUGCCACAUGCUCAGCUGACUGCAAACAUGUCUGUAUGCUGUCCUUCAUGUGGUCAGCUUCUGUCCCCACUUCAGAUGACUUGGGGGAAGAGAAGCAUCCUGGAUGGAGCGGUGGCAGCAGUGCCACUGACUCUGCUUCAUGCCUUAGGGUAAACUCAUGGUGGGCCAGCGGGGACAAAUGCCUGGUUUGCUUCCCAAGAGUCAUGACUGUUGGCCCACGAACACAUAUGCAGAACAUAUAUACAUAGGCUCUGCCGAAUCAACUUUGUAUAUAAGGUUUUGGGAAAUAGAUUCCAACAUUUAUAAAAUCAAAAGCCUGCACAUAAAAAAUGUGCAUUUCUUACUCCUCUUGGAAAACUAGAAAAUGGAACAACCAUGUGUUGAUUCCACUAUCUCUUGUCUCUCAGUGGCAGCAGAAACCAGCAGAUGAUGAAGGCCAUGGCUACCCCACACUUACCAGGAAUAUUGGCUGGGCCACAAAGCCACAUCUCUGGACUAUAGGAUCUUCCUUCUCAGUCCUGGGGUUCCUGCCUGUGCAGUGAUGGCCUUGAAGCGAACAGCCCAGGGAUGCUACAGGAAUCCACAAAACCUUUAGAUGAUUUGCUCUGACAGUAAACAACAUGCUGCUGAUUGUGCUCAUUCUAAAGGGGCAUCUGCACAUGUUCUAGAGAACAUGGCUGUGCAAGAAGAGGAUGUACGGGACUUCUCAAGACCUGCAGAGCCAUCUCUCCUGUGGCCAAGGUCACUGUCACAGCAAAUUGGGCAAACACUGAAAAUUAGGUGGGGUUUUUUUGUUGUUUUUUUUCUGAGAACUGCUGUUUGUUAACUUUUGUGGUGUAAAUUCCCGUACUGUGGCCGAUUUCAAGCUACCCAUAUGAUGUCACUGAAUGUAACCAGCUUUUGUGAUCCACUAUGAUCUGGCUCAGGCACACCCCUUCUGUUUACAUUCUCCCUCACUCCCUGACCUUAAACCCGGUGUUUCUGUACCCACUUAUGGUUUGUUUCCACCUGGCCACUAUAAAUCUUACAGUCAGUGACACUUGCAAAUAGAUUCUGGACUUCAGGGGCUUUAUUCAUGGGCAGGUACCAAAAGACAGUGGCCCCUCAACAGUGCAGGGGAAUGUGAGACAUUCCUGGGAACAAGGGACCCAACCCCUGCUGCUCCAGGACAUACUGGAGAUUGCCACUCCAGAUAUGCAAUUUCCAAAGCUCUGGGCCCAGCAAGUCAUCCUGCAUCCAGGACACAUGAUUUGGACAAGAGUGACCUUCAGUCUGUCCCAGGAGGCCUUGAGCUACAAAGCAAAUUAGGUGUAACUGGACUGAGAACUGUUCCUUGCCAUUCUGCUGUCCCCUCUGACAGCCCGCUACAAAAGCCCUUCCCCUCUCUCCACUGUUAGAGCCCAAUUUUCUUCUCAAUUUCUCCCCACACACAAUGGAUAGAGACCCCAGGAUUAAAAGAUGGCUUCAAUAAUAAGGCCUUUAUUAUCACACACUUUGGAGGCAGGCAGUUCCAGGGUUGGGUGAUUUGGAGACUGGACAAAUCCGUUGCUGGUGUCAUCUGUAGAAUCAAAAAGGACCAAGAAGAGACAUCUUCUCUGGAAGUGCUCAGCAGACUCCAGUUUAGAUCCUCUUAGAGAGAACUAGUCAGGGCAAUGCCUUAACCAAUGGAGAUGGGAGAAGUGGGAAAU